GACGAACGCUGGCGGCGUGCCUAAUACAUGCAAGUCGAGCGAGACUCUUCGGAGUCUAGCGGCGGACGGGUGAGUAACACGUGGGCAACCUGCCUGUAAGACUGGGAUAACACCGGGAAACCGGUGCUAAUACCGGAUAAUCCUUUUUCUCUCAUGAGGGAAAGCUGAAAGUCGGUUUCGGCUGACACUUACAGAAGGGCCCGCGGCGCAUUAGCUAGUUGGUGAGGUAAUGGCUCACCAAGGCGACGAUGCGUAGCCGACCGGAGAGGGUGAUCGGCCACACUGGGACUGAGACACGGCCCAGACUCCUACGGGAGGCAGCAGUAGGGAAUCUUCCACAAUGGACGAAAGUCUGAUGGAGCAACGCCGCGUGAGCGAUGAAGGCCUUCGGGUCGUAAAGCUCUGUUGUUAGGGAAGAACAAGUACCGGAGUAACUGCCGGUACCUUGACGGUACCUAACCAGAAAGCCACGGCUAACUACGUGCCAGCAGCCGCAGUAACAC
rnacentral:rRNA from 1 species